rnacentral:rRNA from 1 species
CCUACGGGAGGCAGCAGUGAGGAAUAUUGGUCAAUGGGCGGAAGCCUGAACCAGCCAAGUAGCGUGCAGGAUGACGGCCCUACGGGUUGUAAACUGCUUUUAUACGGGAAUAACGCGCCUUACGUGUAGGGCUUUGCAUGUACCGUAUGAAUAAGGACCGGCUAAUUCCGUGCCAGCAGCCGCGGUAAUACGGAAGGUCCGGGCGUUAUCCGGAUGUAUUGGGUUUAAAGGGAGCGUAGGCGGCAUGUCAAGCGUGCUGUGAAAUGUCCGGGCUCAACCCGGGCCUUGCAGUGGAAACUGGCGUGCUUGAGUGCGCGGGAAGCAGGCGGAAUUCGUGGUGUAGCGGUGAAAUGCUUAGAUAUGACGAAGAACCCCGAUUGCGAAGGCAGCUUGCUGCAGCGGAACUGACGCUGAUGCUCGAAAGCGCGGGUAUCGAACAGGAUUAGAUACCCUUGUAGUC